AGUUCUCCUGUCGCUAUUUUGAGCAGGAAAAAUACAUAUACGACACAGAAAGAACAGAGCAUCAAAGUGUUUAUCAACGUUUAAGAAGGAAUUUCCGUUUAUCUUUACAAUGUUAACGCUGGAGGGUUUGAGAUCCUGUAUCUUGUAAAAGUUUGAUCAAGAGUCAGUGGAGGAGAUCAAACUCAUCAGAUUCUCCUGCAUCUUCAUCAUGGCUGAUUCACAAGCAUCCAGAGAUGGAGAUUUCUCUCCAGGACGCAGUUCAGUCCAGCAGAAGAGCUCAAACCCAGAGUCCAGCUGUGUGUCUGUGAAGAGUGACCGCUCUAUGGAUCAUCCACUAAACUU